GUGAUGAUCCAGUGAGGAACUGAACUCUUAGAGUUCCCAGUGGCAUAACUGUUUCUUUGGUCCCUGCUCAAGUUCUGCCAAUGAUGUGAAGGAAUUGGUCCAACAGUGAAACAGGCAAGAUGAACAGAAGGCUUUUACCUAUUGCAAAAGACAUGUCAGAGUCAGAGAUAAAAUGAGAGGAAGAAAUCAAGAAGGCAUUGCCUUUCUUCUCAGCACAAAAAGAGGUGAGAAAUCCUUCCUCUUUCUGCAUUCAGAACUCAGGUGUGGCUGUGCUGUAUCAGUAGUAGAAGUCAGGUGCAACAUAGAGCUGCUCACAACACAGUAAGAAGGAGGUACAGUUUAACUGAGAUUUCAUUUUCCUCCCUCAUAUUAUUUGUUCUCUGCGCUGAUGUAUUGGUGCAGUCAUAAGGAGUGCUUGUUGUUUCUGCUAGAUACCACUUGGGCAAGAAUUGGGAGUUCUAGAUCUCUGGAAACCCCAGCAUGAGCUCAAUAAAACGUUUCAGUUUUGAAAGCAGCAUAUGGUUUGAGCCCCUUUGAGUUCAUAGGAAUCUCUCAAGUGAGCACUACGAUCAGAUGCUCAGGACAGGCUCAAAUACCACUCUGCAGCCAUUCUAUUUGCUCCUUGACAAUACCACUGAGUAAAUCUGUGAUUUUGUGCUGGUUUUUCUAUGUGAUCAGAGCCAAUCCUAUCCCUGGGGAUCUUUAUAUCCACAGCCAGUCCUUUCUUUCCAUUGUUAUUUAAUGAAGCUUCCUGCUUUGAGGCUGCCUUCUGUAUGUGACUGUAAGUAGCUCAAGAAAUGACUGUAAGGAAAGACACAGCAAUGUUUGGGCACAGGGUAAAGGCAACUGUCAGCAAGGAACAAGUUUGUAAUUAUUAGCCUGUCUAAUAAAGGUUAGUCCAAGCAAAGAGGGGUUUGGGCUCCUGUAUCUGAGAAUCACAGCUCUCCAAGAUCAUUCCCUCAAGCCCAAAUCUUGGCAGGAUAUAACUUGUAUGCUGUAUAUAUGGAUUUUGGAGGUGUGUAGCUGCUCCUUGCCCUCUCUGAAAAUGCAGCAGUGUAAGGGCUAAAGCUUGAGCUAUGUCACCAGCAAUGUGGAAAUGUCUCUCUAGAAACUAGCAGCCUAUCAAGUCCCUGUGACCUUAGCAUGACUGCUUUGUGAAUGCUAGCCAGGGCAAAGCUUGUGUACCAGAGAGAACAAGGAAAAGGAAACUCCUCGGAUAUCUCCCACUGCCCUGGUAGUUUCAAGAUGGCUAAGGAAAGGUGUCAUUGUGGGAGAUCUGAAGUUUCAGUUGUGGGCUUUAUGGGAUCAGAAGUAACCUUUUUCCAGCUGCACCUCUCUGGUCUUGUAGCUGUACAACAAGCUGUACAUUGGAUGAAAAGACAGGUGCCAUGCAUUGGAUGCAGUGCUACAAACGAGUCAUACUACAGAUGCCAGUUUGUUCACUACUACCCUUGAACUGGCCACAGAAACACUGUAUCUGAAUAGACUGUUUAGGAAGAUAUCUGAGAAAAUUUUGGCUUUUUAAAAUGG